rnacentral:ncRNA from 1 species
AAAACAGGGGUGCCGAAAGGCUGAGAUUUGCGUCGUGCGCGGCGCAUGAACCCUUUAACCUGAUCCGGAUAAUGCCGGCGUAGGAAGUUUGCAGAUCA